rnacentral:lncRNA from 1 species
ACAACUGGGCCAUUGGCCCAGUGGGUGAGGGGCUAGUCUCCCCCAUGACCCCAAGGUCAGGGGUUCGAACUUGAGGAGUACAUCCUGGCCAUUAUUUUCCUUUUUAUGUUAUUUUGUUAUUUUAUUUAUUUCAUUUUAUUUUCUCUUUUAAUUUAUUUUUUAACCUCCUUAUUUUUAUUAUUUUGACAAAAUGUUGAACAUCAACCCCUCUUAUUUUUGCCUCUAGAAUUUAAUGCUG